rnacentral:misc_RNA from 1 species
GAAAUGCGAUAAGUAGUGUGAAUUGCAGAAUUCAGUGAAUCAUCGAAUCUUUGAACGCACAUUGCGCCCUUUGGUAUUCCUUAGGGCAUGCCUGUUCGAGCGUCAUCUAAACCCUCAAGCCCUGCUUGGUGUUGGGUGCCUGUCCCGCCUCCGCGCGCGGACUCACCUCAAAUCCAUUGGCGGCCCCCGCGUCGGCCACGAGCGCAGCAGAAACGCGAACUCGUGAGCCCGUCCGUGCGGCUCCCAGAAGCUACACCCACCCAGUUUGACCUCGGAUCAGGUAGGGAUACCCGCUGAACUUAAGC